rnacentral:rRNA from 1 species
UACGGGGGGGACAAGCGUUGUUCGGAAUUACUUGUCGUAAAGGGCGCGUAGGCGGGCGGGCAAGUCUCUCGUGAAAGCCCACGGCUCAACCGUGGAAUUGCGGGAGAUAAUUCCUGUCUUGAGUCCGGGAGAGGAGGGUGGAAUUUCCAGUGUAGCGGUGAAAUGCGUAGAUAUUGGGAGGACCACCGGUGGCGAAGGCGGCUCUCUGCACCGGUACUCUCGCUGAGGCGCGAAAGCUAGGGGAUCAAACGGG